GGUCACGGGAGCAUGAAAAUUUCCACCUAAGUAUUUGAACAUCUGAGCUCAACUUUGCUCCAUCCACGCUCUAGCGCUCUGCCUUCCUCAACAUCUGCAGAGUUAGUAAUUCUUGGGUGGAGGGAGCAGAGAACAGAGGGCGGGAGAUCAUAGGAGCUGUCUAGGGCAGCAGUGGCAUGACAAAAGCAGACCGGUGUGUAUCACAGACGCCUGGUUAGCUCUAGCUGGCUGGAUGCAAGAGCAGGCGUAGCGAUUCAAACCUGAAAACACAACUUCAAAGUCUCUGUUGGCUGCCCGUCUGGACGAUGGAAACCAGGGUGCCCGCCUGAGCUUCCCAAAAGGACUAUGAGGAAGAUAAGCGAACGGGACCCUAGAUAGUACACAGAAUGGCUUAGCACACUCCUCACUCUAGGAAGCACUGUUGAAUGUUCUGUUCAGCAGUGUCCACCAGAGGGCAGAAAAAGAAAGGGACUGGAGACUUCCAACUGUCACUCGAGACCUGAGCUGCUUCAUAAGGACGAGGACGUCACAGGGUCUAAUACAGCCCAUGCCGGCCGGCCUUGACCUCACCAUGUAGCUGAAGAUGACUUCGAGGUCCCCAUCCUCUGGCCUCUGCCUCCCAAGUGCUGGGAUUACAGGCAUGGGCCACCAUGCCAGUCUCAGAGUCCUGCUUUUAUACGGUGGAAGAGAAGAUCUCCAAUUUUCCUGCUUCGUUAUUUACCUUCCUACAGCACUUAUUCAACGUUACGUAGACACUACAUUUGCAAUUUCACAAAUAAAGGUCGUUAUCUGUUUCCAACA